rnacentral:rRNA from 1 species
GACGAACGCUGGCGGCGUGGAUUAGGCAUGCAAGUCGAACGGUAGAUAUCCUUCGGGGUAUUGAGAGUGGCGAACGGGUGAGUAACACGUAGGUAAUCUACCCUCAAAUCGGGGACAACCCAGGGAAACUUGGGCUAAUACCGGAUGAGUGCAGCACCUAAAUCAUCCAUACGGAAUCUGGUUAAGAUUGGGUUUUGUAUGGUUGGGUGAUUUAGGUGCUGUAUAAAAGAUGGCUUCGGCUGUCGUUUGAGGAUGAGCCUGCGCUCUAUUAGUUAGUUGGUGAGGUAAUGGCUCACCAAGGCGAUGAUAGAUAGGCGGCCUUAACGGGUGGUCGCCCACACUGGGAUUGAGAUACGGCCCAGACUCCUACGGGAGGCAGCAGUCGAGAAUAGUCUACAAUGGACGAAAGUCUGAUAGUGCGACGCCGCGUGAACGAUGAAUCCCUUCGGGUGUAAAGUUCUUUUAUAUGUGAGCAAUGCCUUAUAUGUGAAUAG